rnacentral:lncRNA from 1 species
AGAAACCGAGGAAACCACAAGAGUGAAGACUAGUAGAGUCUCAUCUUUUGUCAUUCUUUGCUCCUUUUUCACUCAAUGAUUCAUUCGAAUUUCCCAACCAAAAAUUCUAUAUGUCUAUUCUAUGAUAUUUUUAUAUAUAUAGAAUAUGAUAUCUAAUAUGACACCCGAUUUGUCAAAGGGAUUGGAUUGGUUGGGGACUUGUUCUCAAGUGCUUCAAUCGAAAGGAAAUGAUAGUACAAGCGUGACGCAGAAAGCAAAUGCCAAGUCAGCGUGAACGGUACGGGAGUACUGCUCACCUAUUUAUAGGCACGGGACGCAACCCAUACAAAAUUACAUUCAUGCCCUUUACAUUUGAUAAUAAUUCUAUGGUAAUGUAUCAAGGUCUGAAUAGCCUUUUCAUCUUUAAGUCGGUUUCAUUUUCUGCAACCACGCCGAAGCUUUCCUGCUCAACACCUUCGGCUCUGUAGCAAGCUUCGUAUUAUUCCAGUCUACUGCAAUGCCGACUUUAGUCCGAGAGUACCUGUUCACACAUUGCACUACAGAAAUACUGUUAAAUCCUUGUUUUUGAGGACCUUCGGACUCCGAAGGUCCCCAACAGUAGCCCCUCGCAAUAUUAAUUUGUUUGAAAUAAUAAAUUUAGAUUGCGAUAUGGACGAAGGCUUUUACGCCGAAGGUCCGAAAAAACACCUUCCCUUUGCUAGAAUAGCAACAUUCAAUGACAAGUGGGGUCUUUCAAUUUUCAACGCACCGAGCGUAUAUAUACGGCCAUACCGCAAACUCAUUUUGCACGCUUUCUGGCCAACCACUCCCGCUCACUCAAUUUUUAGCUCUUGUGCACUGUGUUUUGCUAAGCUUUUAGCUUUGAAGCUUCGGAUUUGAAAACAGUUGUUUAGUGCUUCCGAAGAUGUCUGAAGCUGCUAAGAAGGCUGCUGCUGAGAUGAAGCUGAGUCUUGAUGAAGAGAAGAACUUAGGAUUUCUUAUAGCGAUGUCGAAGACCAACACAGAAAAAAUCACCAAUGAGAUUCUGGAAGGACUGUCUGAAGAUACUGGUGACAGUGAAAGUUAUGAUGUAGACAGCGGUGGCGAAGACUCCGAAGAUCGCCCCUGGCGACCAAGUCAUUCAGUUUAUGGUAAAUCAACUAUCAAAGAGAAUCAUCUUGCUAAUAUGAGAGGAAGGUAUUUCCGGGAUUUGUCCGUUGUGAGGGCCGACGAAGGAGAGAAGACUUGUCCACAUCCUGAAGAGAAUGAAGUCGUAGUAUUCCGAAGCUUUUUGAAGGCUGGGCUGCGAUUGCCCUUGAGCAGCUUCGUCGUGGAAGUGCUGAAGAUUUUUGAAGUUUAUCUUCACCAACUUACCCCCGAGGCCAUCAUAAGGCUGAACAUCUUCGUAUGGGCCGUGCGAAGCCAAGGUCUGAAGCCUGAUGCAAAAAGUUUCUGCAAUAUGCACGAAUUAUCAUACGAGACAAUACCUUGGGGUAAGGAACAGUAUCACAAUAACUUUGGCUGCUACAGUUUUGUUUCUCGGUCUGGGUCAAGCUGUCCCGUGCCAACUUUUCGGAAGAGGUGGCCUAGCGGCUGGAUGACAGAAUGGUUUUAUGUAAAAAAUGAUCUGAAAGCACGGGAAGACAUCAAAGGUAUAAUCAUGCGACCUAUUUGGCAAAGCUUCGGCCUUCGGAGGCCGAAGGUUGAAAUGAAUGAAGCCGCCGAAGAGUGCCAAAGAGCCUUCGGCGUUGUCUGCUCUUUUAUAGGAACAAGGGACUUAGUACAAGAGCAUAUCGCCUUCAGGGUGUGGCCGCUUGCGGAGAAAUGGGAAAUGCCACAAGAAACCAUUAAAGAGGCCGACGAAGGUGGACUUAUCAGAUUUAAGUACACUUUUAAAUUUGGAGAUAAAUUUAUUGAGCCAGAUGAUGAGUGGUUGAAAAGCAUUGACAAUUUAAGUGAUGAGCUACUCGGGACCUACUCGAAGGCUGAAGAUAACGCAAUGUCAGCAGCCUUCGGAGGCCGAAAAAAGAAGAGACUGAAUCGGGUAUUUGAUGCCAUCGGGUUUGUCUACCCUGACUAUUGCUAUCCCAUUCGGAGGCAGAAGAGAAAAAACACAACCUCUGCAAAAGAAGAAGCUGCAGCUGCUCCUAGCGAGCCAGAACCGAAAAGGAAAAAGUUAAAGGUUCUUACGCAUCGGCCGCGUUAUAUUGAACCAGCUUCGGUGCCCAAGUUUACCGGAAAAACUUCUUCGGCCACCGAAGCUGAAAAACCAACUGAGCCUGCCUUAUUGCCAGAGAUCGCAGAAACAGCCGAAGUGCCACCAAAGAUAGAAUCAGAACAAUCAAACAUUUUGUUGUCAGAAACAAAAGAGAAAACCGAAGCGCCGUCCACAGAAAAAAUUGAAGAGGUAAAAGAAGCAACUGAGGGCUCCAAAACAUCAGAAGUUUUGAGUCCUACAGCAAUCAUUGGGACAGCAAAAAAUGAAAAAGUGCCAACCGCAACUCCGAAGAGAAAGAGAAUGGCUAAUGUGCUAGAUGUACUGGAAACGAUCAAAUCUUCGAGCACACCUCCGAAGAAGGCUGCUGUUACUCCUGAAACAACAGCUGAAAUUUCUGGUUCUACAGCUCCAGAGCAAGAAAUUGAAGCCGAAGCUGGGCCCUCAGAGCCCGCAAAAACUUUGGAAAGUGAAGCAGAAAAAAUAACAAAGCCAACUUUUAAAGAAACUGGUGUUGUUACCCCCGAAGCAUCCCCCAAAAUUCGUGAUUAUAUUUUUCGUCAUGCUUCGGGGAAAAAAUUAUCAGAAAAAGAAGAACAAGAGGCCCAGCACUAUGCCCAAAAGUUGAAAUAUCCAAAGGGGGCGUUGAUAUUUAAUGGCAGUGGAGAAGAAGAUUUCUUGUAUUGUCUCCCCGAUAGCAAGGAAAUUUCUGUCUGUCGGGAGAUGAGCAGAAGCUUCGGAUUCCCAACUUUAGAAGACGGACUUUCGGUGUUGUCAAAGAACGAUCUGGCUGACAGCCUAGCUUACAACAGUUUAAAGGUGCGAGAAAUGGAAUUCUCGUGUUUUUUGUUGAGUUCAAAAAAAUUUUCGUUUGUUUAAAACUAUUGACACAGACAUAUUCCUGUUUGCAGGGCCUGAUACUCAGCAAUGCCCUCAGGGCACAGAAAGAUGCUGAGGACGAAGGAUGUACUAUAGCCCUGAGCAACCUUCGUUCCGAAGUGAUUGAACUGAGGAACGAAGGUCUCGAAAAAGACAAAAUAUUAUACUCAUUGAUAGAUAAAAUAAAGGAGAACGAAGCUGCUUUUAAAAGUCAAGCUGAAGCUCAGAAACGCGAAAUUGAAGACCUUCGGAAACAACUGGCCAGAGCCAAAGAAGAACGUAUACUUCAAGAAACAAAGCGUGAACUCAGCGAUCAAUGGGCAGAUCACCUAGAAGUGACUGUUGAAGAGCUUCGUUCAUCCAAAAAGAGAUGCUACAACAAAUCUAUAGAUUGUGUUAAAAAAUUAAAGGCUAGCUUCGCCAAGGUCGCCGCAUUCUCAAGUGAGGAAAACUUUUCGAGAGGCAAUCCCGAAGGUGUCAUUGAAUGGAUUGACCACGAAGCUGAAGCCUUCGAAGAAAUUUUAAAUAGUCGAGGAGAUAUAUGUGCCUUCUCUGGCGCCAGAGGGAUUGCCACUAUCUUAGAGAAGAAGGGCUGUGAACAUGUAAAAAUUCUAGCACAGUCCGAAGCUGCCUUGUCCUUUGAAGAUACAAGAGAUCCUACGGCCGAAGCUAGCAUAAUUGGUGGAAAGUUUUUUACCGAUAUCUGGGAUAAUGGUGGCCGAGAAAUGGCCGGAGAAAUUAUUCGAAGAAGUGAGAAGGGCAUUCACGAUGCUAGAGCAGUAGCUGAGGCUGCUGACAAGAGCACAGAAGCCGAAGAUCAACUAGGUACUAAAUAAUGGUUUUUAUCGUGUUGUAAUCUUUAGGCUUUAAGAUCUGCUUGCGAUUUGUAAUAGCAAUGUAGCCGUGUCCUGCUUCAGAUCCGACUAAAGCGCCUUCGGACCCCCAGCCGAAGGGGGACGACGAAAUUAAAAAGAUGGCCGAAGAUAUUAUGGACAAAGUCGUGAAUCGGCUCCUGAAUGAAGCUGCAGAAGUCGUUUUGAGAGAGGAUUAAGCAUUUUUGUAAAAAACUUCUGAAAUGUAAUAUAAUGUAACAUUUUGUAACCCUGAAUGUAAUAUAUCUAUUUUUGUUAUUCAAUUCUUUACGAUGCAUGAAACUUUACAUACAUACCGUUUUUGAGUCUUUGGCGAAAAAACACCUUCCCUUCUUUUCAUGCUUCGUGAAGAAGAAUUACCAUUUAUCACAACAAUAUCCGAAGUAUCAUGGAAAAGUGCUGAAGCUUCGUAGAAACAAUCUUCAAGGCUAUACUUCAGAAAUCAAUAUUGUUUCUCCUUAUGACUUGGCAUGAUUUGCCCCUUUUUCAAAGCGUUUUUCCGAAGAUUAAUGUCAUAUCUCUUUCUUAUGCCACAUGCAUUAUGAUGUAUGAUGCUUAUGUUAUGCAAGGAUGAUGUGAUGAUGUUAUGCUAUGUAAGGUGAUAUUCCGAAGAUACACGCAUAUUUGCGCGAUAAAACACAAUCUUUUUGUGAAUCAGCAUUGUCUUUUCGCUAUAAGCCUCCCUUAGGAGCUUCUUCGCCUUUUACUUCAGCGGAAUCAGCGUUGACUUUUCGCUGUAAGCUCUGCAUUCCCUUAGGAACGUCUUUGGAGCUUCUUCGCCUUUUACUUAGGCGGUAUAAGCUCUGCAUUCCCUUAGGAACGUCUUUGGAGCUUCUUCGCCUUUUACUUAGGCGGUAUCAGCAUUGACUUUUCGCUGUAUGCUCUGCAUUCCUUUUGGAACGACUUUGGAGCAGAAAACUUACACUGCGCUCGCUUCGGAACGACUUUUUGUGACUUCGUCAAACUUACUCUGCGUUCCGCAGAACGACUUUUUGUUGUUUCGAAGAAUUUUCGACAGUCCGAAGGUCCUUUUUAUUAUCACAAGCCUGUGGAGAAAACAUAUUUUUCUUGUAGGAAUCAACGAAACUAAUUACAUGAAACCUAAACAAUGUCCUUUAUUACAGAAAAUAAAACUGAAUGAAAAAGAUUGCUAUUAAGGUAGGAUAUUUGUCAAUAGAUGUGCUUUGAUUCUGGCACUGUGCUAUUGACCGUGCGAGCUUCGGACUGUUCUCUGAAGUCCCUUUGGUGCGGAGCAUAUUGGCUCCCUUCUGGCUGCUGGCCUUGUUGCAACGGAGGUGGAGGCGGAGGCUGUUGCCAGGAAGCUUGAGGCUGACUCGCCGAAGCAGCAGAGACUGCAGGAUGGUUGCCCACAUAUUCUGGGAUGUAGGGCGAAUGAUACGAAGCUGUAUGCAUGACAUGCUUCGGCUGGGCUUGUUGUGCUGCUGCUUCAGCUAUUUCCUUUUGCUUCUGUAUAGUAACAUGGCACAUCCUGGUAGUAUGGCCUUUGUUCUCACCGCAGAAUAAGCAAAAGAUUCUUCUCGGUUGAUCGCCAAAUCUUCCUCCGAAGCCCCUGGCGCCUCUGCCUCUUGGAGCUGGUGGCCGGAAGGAGCUUUGCUGUUGUCCAGAAGCCUGUGAGGAGUAUUGUGGCUUUUGCUGUUGGCUUCCUCUGUCAUCAUUUUGUGUAGAAUUGUGAAUUGAUCGCACAUGCCUCGGGUAAAACCUCCCUCCGAAGCCCCUGGUCAUUUCAGAAAACCUGAAAGCCUCCUCCCUUCUUUGGCGAAAAUCAUUGUCGGCCCGAAUGUAUUCAUCCAUUUUCUGGAGAAGCUUCUCCAAAGUUUGAGGAGGCUUCCUGGCGAAGUACUGAGCUGACGGACCUGGCCGAAGCCCCUUGAUCAUGGCCUCGAUGACAAUUUCAUUGGGCACCGUUGGUGCCUGUGCCCUCAGACGCAAGAACCUUCGGACAUAUGCCUGAAGGUAUUCUUCGUGGUCCUGAGUGCACUGGAACAGAGCCUGAGCAGUGACCGGCUUCGUCUGAAAUCCUUGAAAGCUGGUUAACAACAAAUCCUUCAGCUUCUGCCAUGAAGUGAUCGUGCCUGGUCGAAGGGAGGAAUACCAGGUUUGAGCAACACUUCUGACAGCCAUAACGAAAGAUUUGGCCAUGACUGAAGCAUUGCCACCAUACGAAGAAACUGUUGCUUCGUAGCUCAUCAAAAACUGCUUCGGGUCUGAAUGGCCAUCGAAUACAGGGAGCUGAGGCGGCUUGUAGGACGGGGGCCAAGGUGUAGCCUGCAGCUCAGCGGACAGAGGAGAAGCAUCAUCAAAAACAAAAUUCCCAUGAUGGAAAUUGUCAUACCAAUCAUCUUCGUUGGGAAAACCCUCCUGAUGAAGAUCUUGAUGCUGAGGCCUUCGGUGUUGCUCGUCCUGAGCAAGAUGACGAACUUCUUCAGAGGCUUCGUCUAUCUGCCUCUGCAGUUCAGCUACCCUGGCCAUCUUUUCUUUCUUGCGUUGAACCUGUUGCUGAAGGAUUUCCAGAUUUUGAAUCUCCUGAUCUAGAUCAUCCUCCGGAGGUGUUGGACUGGUAGCCUUCCUCUUCUGGCUUCGUGCCUCUCUAAGAGAAAGGACGUCUUGAUUAGGGUCCAGCGGCUGCAGCGUGCCAGCCCCUGGUGCUGAAGCUUUCUUCGGCGGCAUGACGAAGGUGAUGCUUGUCGAAGAUGUUGAAAAGCUCAAGAAAUGGAAGUGAGUUCACCGGAGGUGGGCGCCAAUGUUGGGGACUUGUUCUCAAGUGCUUCAAUCGAAAGGAAAUGAUAGUACAAGCGUGACGCAGAAAGCAAAUGCCAAGUCAGCGUGAACGGUACGGGAGUACUGUUCACCUAUUUAUAGGCACGGGACGCAACCCAUACAAAAUUACAUUCAUGCCCUUUACAUUUGAUAAUAAUUCUAUGGUAAUGUAUCAAGGUCUGAAUAGCCUUUUCAUCUUUAAGUCGGUUUCAUUUUCUGCAACCACGCCGAAGCUUUCCUGCUCAACACCUUCGGCUCUGUAGCAAGCUUCGUAUUAUUCCAGUCUACUGCAAUGCCGACUUUAGUCCGAGAGUACCUGUUCACACAUUGCACUACAGAAAUACUGUUAAAUCCUUGUUUUUGAGGACCUUCGGACUCCGAAGGUCCCCAACAGGUGACUUACCCAUUCAGUGACUUUGGCACUGGACGUUCCAAAAACGGGUACUAUCGGAUCGGGUGUUUUGGACGGAUUUGUUGAAACGAUUUUCAACAGGUACCCCUUGGAAAUGGGGUACUUGACUAUUCUACAAGGAUUAUAGUGGAUUUGGAACAAACUAUGUUGGAGUUUUAUCAAUAAUUUUAUUCUAAAAAAAAGGGUUGGGAGUCGAAUUUAUACUGCAGAGUAUCAAAAUUAUACUACUGCCUGCCCAACAAAAAAUAAAAAGCAUAUCCUACAUACCUAACUCCUCCAGGUUCA